rnacentral:rRNA from 1 species
AGAACGAACGCUGGCGGCAGGCCUAACACAUGCAAGUCGAGCGCCCAGCAAUGGGAGCGGCGGACGGGUGCGUAACGCGUGGGAAUAUGCCUUUCGGUACGGAACAACUCAGGGAAACUUGAGCUAAUACCGUAUACGCCCUUAGGGGGAAAGAUUUAUCGCCGAAAGAUUAGCCCGCGUAGGAUUAGCUUGUUGGUGAGGUAAUGGCUCACCAAGGCGACGAUCCUUAGCUGGUUUGAGAGAACGACCAGCCACACUGGGACUGAGACACGGCCCAGACUCCUACGGGAGGCAGCAGUGGGGAAUCUUGGACAAUGGGGGAAACCCUGAUCCAGCCAUGCCGCGUGAGUGAUGAAGGCCUUCGGGUUGUAAAACUCUUUCGACGGGGACGAUAAUGACGGUACCCGUAGAGAAGCUCCGGCUAACUUCGUGCCAGCAGCCGC